rnacentral:rRNA from 1 species
GAAGAAGGAGGGAGGCGUGCUUAACACAUGCAAGUCGAACGGAAAGGCCCUGCUUUUGUGGGGUGCUCGAGUGGCGAACGGGUGAGUAACACGUGAGUAACCUGCCCUUGACUUUGGGAUAACUUCAGGAAACUGGGGCUAAUACCGGAUAGGAGCUCCUGCUGCAUGGUGGGGGUUGGAAAGUUUCGGCGGUUGGGGAUGGACUCGCGGCUUAUCAGCUUGUUGGUGGGGUAGUGGCUUACCAAGGCUUUGACGGGUAGCCGGCCUGAGAGGGUGACCGGCCACAUUGGGACUGAGAUACGGCCCAGACUCCUACGGGAGGCAGCAGUGGGGAAUAUUGCACAAUGGGCGGAAGCCUGAUGCAGCAACGCCGCGUGCGGGAUGACGGCCUUCGGGUUGUAAACCGCUUUCGCCUGUGACGAAGCGUGAGUGACGGUAAUGGGUAAAGAAGCACCGGCUAACUACGUG